rnacentral:rRNA from 1 species
AAUUUUGGACAAUGGGGGCAACCCUGAUCCAGCCAUCCCGCGUGUAGGAUGAAGGCCUUCGGGUUGUAAAGUACUUUUGGCAGAGAUGAAAAGGUAUCUCCUAAUACGAGAUACUGCUGACGGUAUCUGCAGAAUAAGCACCGGCUAACUACGCGCCAGCAGCAGCGGUAAUACGUAGGGUGCAAGCGAUAAUCGGAAUUACUGGGUGUAAAGCGUGUGUAGGCGGUUCGGAAAGAAAGAUGGGAGAGCACAGCGCUCAACCUAGGAAAUGCAUUUUUAACUGCCGAGCUAGAGUAUGUCAGAGGGGGGUAGAAUUCCACGUGUAGCAAUGAAAGGCGUAGAUAUGUAGAGGAAUACCGAUGGAGAAGGAAGCCCCCUGGGAUAAUACUGACGCUCAGACACGAAAGCAUGGGGAGCAAACAG